rnacentral:rRNA from 1 species
UACGUAGGGGGCAAGCGUUGUCCGGAUUUAUUGGGCGUAAAGAGCGUGUAGGCGGCUAGGUAGGUCCGUUGUGAAAACUCGAGGCUCAACCUCGAGACGUCGAUGGAAACCAUCUGGCUAGAGUCCGGAAGAGGAGAGUGGAAUUCCUGGUGUAGCGGUGAAAUGCGCAGAUAUCAGGAAGAACACCCGUGGCGAAGGCGGCUCGCUGGGACGUGACUGACGCUGAGACGCGAAAGCGUGGGGAGCAAACAGG